rnacentral:lncRNA from 1 species
CAGGUCUGGGAGUCAGCAGGUUUUGUAGCAGGUUCAGAUUUGCCAUCAGCACUACCAUGCCCUGUGAUCAAAGUCAAUGGAAAAAGAACCCAAUUCAGGCAGGACUACCAAUGUAUUCGCCUACAAGAUACAUGUACAAAAUAACAUCUCCCUCCACCUUCAAACGAAACCCAAAAGCCCUCGUGGGAAGACGCACAGCACGCGGGAUUCUCACCACCAGAUGCCUAGCAUCUGAGAUCAAUGAAUGCUAAGGACAGGAAUCACACUCAUGUCAGGAGGCACCAACAAGUCUUGAUGCAGCCUUUAGUAAAACCUGGGGACGAGAACUUUCAUUUUGUGAGUUUCCUUUUUCAUGUGGAUUGCAUUGUCUCUACUGCCUUCUUUGCUUUCUCUCUACAUCCUUGUGAAGCGAAGUUCCUUUGGAAAAAUUCCAGCUGGCCGGGCAUGGUGGUUCAUGCCUGUAAUCCCAGAACUUUGGGAGACCAAGGCGGGUGGAUCAUUUGAGGUCAGGAGUUUGAGACCACCCUGGCCAACAUGGUGACACCUGUCUCAAUAAAAAUACAAAAUUUAGCAGGCGUGGAAUCCCAGCUACUCGGGAGGGUGAGAUAUGAGGAUCGCUUGAAUCUGGGAGGCUGAGGCUGCCAUGAGCCAGAUCACGCCACUGCACUGCAGCCUGGGAAACAGAGGGAGACACUGUUCAAGGCCUAUCUUUUAUUAUUAUUAUUAUUUUUGAGAUGGAGUCUUGCUCUGUCACCCAGGCUGGAGUGCAGUGGCAACCUCUGCCUCCCGGGUUCAAGCCAUCCUCCCACCUCAGUCUCACAAGUAGCUAGGACUAUAUGUGACACCACCACGCCCCACUAAUUUUUUUUUUAUUUGUACCGACAAGGUCUCACUAUGUUACCCAGGCUGGUAUCAAACUCCUGGACUCAAAUGAUCCAGCCUGCGUUGGCCUCCCUAAGUACUGGGAUUGCAGGCAUGAGCCAGCACACCCUCCCUUGCUUUAGUUCUUAAAAGAGACUCUCGCACAUUGGCUUCAGGCUCAGCUGGAUCCAGGUCCUUGAACAGGUUCAGGAAUCUGGAACCUGUCUCUUUCAUUUAUAUAUUUAUUUGAGACAGGGUCUCACACUGUCGCCCGGGCUGGAGUGCAGUGGCACGAUCAUGGCUCACUGCAACCUCAGUCUCCUGGGCUCAAGUGAUCCUCCUACUUCAGCCUCCCAAGUAGCUAAGACCACAGGUGUGUGCCACCAUGCCUGGCUUAAUUUUUUAUUCACUUAUUUAUUUAUUUAUUUAUUUGUUCUGAGACAGAGUCUCGCUCUGUUGUUGCCCAGGCUGGAAUGCAGUGGCACGAUCUUGGCUCACUGCAGCCUCCACCUCCCAGGUUCAAGCGAUUGUCCUGACUCAGGCUCCCAAGUAGCUGGGACUACAGGCAUGUGCCACCAUGCCCAGCUAAAUUUUUUGUAUUUUUAGUAGAGGCGGCAUUUCGCCGUGUUGAUUAGGCUGGUCUCGAACUCCUGAACUCCAAUGAUCCACCCACCUCAGUCUCCCAAAGUGCUGAGAUUACAAGCAUGAGCCACUGUGCCUGGCCAAUUUUUUUUAUUUUUUGUAGAGACACAGUCUCACUAUGUUGCCCAGGCUGGUCUCGAACUCCUGGCCUCAGGAGAUCCUGCCACCGCUUCCCAAAGUGCUGGGAUUACAGGCAUAAAACACUCCGCCCAGUCCCUGGUCUCCUUUGUGUCGGCUUCAUCAACUGUCAGUUCCGUUCUCCAGGGUUAGCAAUUCUAACAGAAGUCCCGGGAUGAUGUCUCAUUGGCUCAUCUUGAGAUAUGUGGUUAUGACUGAACUACAAGCAGAGGGAUGAGAUUGGCCACUCUGGGUCAUGUGCCCCAUUUUCUUUCUUUUUUUUUUUUUUUUUGAGACGAAGUCUUCCUCUGUCGCCCAGGCUGGUGUACAAUGACGUGAUCUCGGCUCACUGCAACCUCCACCUCCUGGGUUCCAGAGAUUCUCCUGCCUCAGCCUCCUGAGUAGCUGGGAUUACAGGUACAUGCCACCAUGCCCCGCUAGUUUUUUGUUUUUUGGUUUUUUUUUUUUGAGACAGAGUCUCACUCUGUCGCCCAGGUUGAAGUACAGUGGUGCAACCUUCACCUCCCCGGUUCAAGCGAUUCUCCCACCUCAGCCUUCUAAGUAGCUUGGACUACAGGCACCCACCACCACACCUAGCUAAUUUUUGUAUUUUUAGUAGAGACAGGGUUUCACCAUGUUGGCCAGGAUGGUCUCGAUCUAUUGACAUCAUGAUCCGCCUGCCUCAGCCUGAAGUGCUAGGAUUACAGGCUUGAGCCACCACACCCAGCCCACGCCCAGCUAAUUUUUGUAUUUUUAGCAGAGACAGGGUUUCACCACAUUGCCCAGGUUGGUCUCGAACUCCCGACCUCAGGUGCUCUGCCCACCUCAGCCUCCCAAAGUGCUGGGAUUACAGGCGUGAGCCACCACGCCUGGCCCUACAUGCCCCAUUCUAAAGCUGGCCCCUUUCCAAGCACAUGGAUGCAAAUGGGAUAAUGGCUCCCCCAGGGAAAAUCAGAAGAAAGAGGCAUGGAUGCUGCACCCGCAAAUGCAGCUGAUACCCAGUCCACCUACACUAAGCAAGUUAUUAAGGCUUACUAAAACAUAGUGUUCGUACAUUCAGAAUAGAAAGUUACUGUAAUUUAUUGAGCACUCUAUUUUGGUAUUCCACCUAGAAGCCUGGCA